rnacentral:rRNA from 1 species
UACGUAGGGGGCAAGCGUUUGUCCGGAAUCAUUGGGCGUAAAGAGCGUGUAGGCGGCCCGAUAAGUCCGCUGUGAAAGUCCAGGGCUCAACCCUCGGAUGCCGGUGGAUACUGUCGGGCUUGAGUGCGGAAGAGGCGAGUGGAAUUCCUGGUGUAGCGGUGAAAUGCGCAGAUAUCAGGAGGAACACCAAUUGCGAAGGCAGCUCGCUGGGACGUAACUGACGCUGAUGCGCGAAAGCGUGGGGAGCAAACAGG